CGCCGCCCCGGGGGGCGCCCACGACCUUCUCCCCAGCGACACAAGGCGGCAGAGGCGAGGAGGGGCUUGCGACUUUCCGGGAAACAGAGCGGCACUUGCUCACUCUUCGGCGCUCCUUUCGGAGCGGCACAAAGCCGUUUCUAGAACACACUGGAUUCGGCUUAAAAAGCGGCUGACAAAGUGCGGCGUCCUUCGGGCGCCGGGUGGGGAGGGCCCUGGGUGAUAGGCCCCCACUUCUCCGGGGAGAUCGCCGCCCGGGAGGCGCGGCAGGGUGGGCCCGGGGCAGCGGCUCUUCCAGAGCUUUCUGCAGGCCCCCGGCCACUGUCCCGGAGUGAGCGGCCGCCGCGCGGAGCCGCAGUUAAGAUGUCCAGAUAAUGUACAGGAUGCCCAGUUAAAUUUGAGGUUCAGAUAAGCAACAGGAACCAGAGUUCUAAAGAGGGAAAGGCUCCUGGAUAGACACUGAAUUUGGCAGAAGAGCUGUCUGAAGCCCAGGGUAGCAAAGUGACUCAUCCAAUGUCACACAGCAGCUUAGUGGCCACCUGGGAUUCCGGAGUGAGGACUCUUGCCCUGCACUGUGUAUCUCUUGCUGCUUUGUUCCUUUCCCCAGGAUCUCAGUUGGGCCGUCUCUGUCCCCACAGUACGAAUCACCCCUUACCUAGGGUUCUGCCGAGCUCCUUGAGUAACUCUGGCUUCUUGCCAGCUCCGUCAGGUCACGCCCAGCAACCACAACCUUGCAGUGUCCUCCCGGGACCCCGAGCCGGCUCCGGUCCUCUUUCCAUUUGGCAGGCUCCCUGGUUCUCUCACUCCUGAUUCAGGACAGAAAGAGAUUUGGUCUGUGACUGAUGCUUUCAUGCAGUGUUGGUGAGAGGGAGAAUUUGAAGUAUCCAUCACAGUUAUAAAUGCCUAUGCCCUUUGACCUAGAAGUUCCACCUCUAGGAUCUUUCUUGUGGAGACACACAGAAUCACUGCCGAGGGCACUGUGGUGUAAAAUAGCCAGAUAUGAAGGGACCCUGCAGCCUGGGGCUCUACCCUAUUCUGGUUCCCUCCCUCUCUGGCCCCUCCUCUGCCACCCAAGCUUUAAAUGUGGCUCUUUCUCCAGGCACUAGGCCUCCACUGCCUCUCCCCUCUGUGUGCUGUCUGGGUGUGACUCUUCGUUUCCUUGGUUUUAAACGUCAUCUCUAUGCUGACUCUCCCUCCAUUAAGCCUGCAGCUCUGACCCCUCAAUGGCUCCAGUCUCAUUCAGCCAACUCUUUUUUUUAUUUGUAAGAUAUAGUUCACGUACCAUAAAAUUUGCCAUUUUAAAGUGUGUAUGUCAGUGGUUUUUAGUAUAUUCACAAGGUUGCACACCUAUCACCACUGUGUAAUUCUAGAAUGUUUUCAUCACCCCCAAAAGGCACCCUGUACCCAUGAGCAGUCACUCCCUGUUACCCUCUCCCCUCAGCCCUUGGCAGCCACUAAUCUAUUUUCUGUCUCUCUGGAUUUGCCUAUUCUGUACAUUUCCUGUAAAUGGAAUCAUAUAGCAGAUAGCCUUUUGUGUCUGAUUUCUUUCACAUAGCAUCAUGUUUUUCAGGUCCAUCCAUGUUAUAGUGUGUAUCAUUAUGUCAUUCCUUUUUGUGUCCAAAUAAAAUUUCAU